rnacentral:rRNA from 1 species
ACAUCCAGCGAACUUGGCAGAGAUGCCUUGGUGCCUUCGGGAACGCUGAGACAGGUGCUGCAUGGCUGUCGUCAGCUCGUGUUGUGAAAUGUUGGGUUAAGUCCCGNAACGAGCACAACCCUUAUCCUUUGUUGCCAGCGAUUCGGUCGGGAACUCAAAGGAGACUGCCGGUGAUAAACCGGAGGAAGGUGGGGAUGACGUCAAGUCAUCAUGGCCCUUACGAGUAGGGCUACACACGUGCUACAAUGGCGCAUACAAAGAGAAGCGACCUCGCGAGAGCAAGCGGACCUCAUAAAGUGCGUCGUAGUCCGGAUCGGAGUCUGCAACUCGACUCCGUGAAGUCGGAAUCGCUAGUAAUCGUGGAUCAGAAUGCCACGGUGAAUACGUUCCCGGGCCUUGUACACACCGCCCGUCACACCAUGGGAGUGGGUUGCAAAAGAAGUAGGUAGCUUAACCUUCGGGAGGGCGCUUACCACUUUGUGAUUCAUGACUGGGGUGAAGUCGUAACAAGGUAGGCGUAGCGAG